UACGUAGGGACCAAGCGUUGUUCGGAUUUACUGGGCGUAAAGGGCGCGUAGGCGGCUUGACAAGUCACUUGUGAAAUCUCCGGGCUUAACUCGGAACGGCCAAGUGAAACUGUCAUGCUAGAGUGCAGAAGGGGCAAUCGGAAUUCUUGGUGUAGCGGUGAAAUGCGUAGAUAUCGAGAGGAACACCUGCGGCGAAGGCGGGUUGCUGGGCUGAUACUGACGCUGAGGCGCGAAAGCCAGGGGAGCGAACGGG
rnacentral:rRNA from 1 species